rnacentral:rRNA from 1 species
CACUGUAACCUAAUAUCCUAAAGCCACCAGAGCCUAUUUGAUCUUGGAAGCUAAGCCGAGUCAGCCUUGUUUAGUACUUGGAUAGGAGGCUGCCAAGGAAUACCAGGAGCUAUAGGAU